GAAUUCACUAGUGAUUACUCCUACGGGAGGCAGCAGUCGGGAAUCUUGGGCAAUGGGCGCAAGCCUGACCCAGCAACGCCGCGUGGAGGAUGAAGUCCUUCGGGAUGUAAACUCCGAAAGAAGGGGACGAAUAAGCAUGGGCUAAUACCCCGUGCGAUGACGGUACCCUUUGUAAGCCCCGGCUAACUACGUGCCAGCAGCCGCGGUAAUACGUAGGGGGCAAGCGUUGUUCGGAUUUACUGGGCGUAAAGCGCGCGUAGGCGGCACUGCAAGUCACUUGUGAAAUCUCCGGGCUUAACUCGGUAGGGGCCAAGUGAUACUGCAGAGCUAGAGUGCGGAAGAGGCAGCUGGAAUUCUCGGUGUAGCGGUGAAAUGCGUAGAUAUCGAGAGGAACACCGGUGGCGAAGGCGGGCUGCUGGGCCGACACUGACGCUGAGGCGCGAAAGCUAGGGGAGCAAACAGGGUUAGAUACCCUGGUAGUCCUAGCCCUAAACGAUGGAUGCUUGGUGUUCGGGGUCUUUUAGUCCCCGGGUGCCGCAGCUAACGCGUUAAGCAUCCCGCCUGGAGAGUACGGUCGCAAGGCUGAAACUUAAAUGAAUUGACGGCGGGCGGGGGCGGCGGGACGGGCGCGGGGCGCGGCGGGCGAAUCGAAUUCCCGCGGCC
rnacentral:rRNA from 1 species